rnacentral:misc_RNA from 1 species
ACAUCAAUGCAGCAAUGCGAUUUGACUGUUGUCUCUGGACUCGGUCUAAACGUAGCCAGAUAGUGGCCUGUGCAGGCUAGCCCGAGUGCUAAGCAUUCUCUGAGCUAGUCUAUGUGGGCUGCCCAAUAUCUAUCU